UAGCCGUAAACGAUACUCGCUAGGUGUCGGCCACGGUGCGACCGUUGUCGGUGCCGUAGGGAAGCCGUGAAGCGAGCCACCUGGGAAGUACGGCCGCAAGGCUGAACUUAAGGAAUUGGCGGGGGAGCACCACAACGGGUGGAGCUUGCGGUUUAAUUGGAUUCAACGCCGGACACCUCACCAGGGGCGACAGCAGAAUGAUGGCCAGGUUGAUGACCUUGCUUGACAAGCUGAGAGGAGGUGCAUGGCGUAGUCGUGU
rnacentral:rRNA from 1 species